UUCAUUUUCAUAAGAGUGAAUGGGAGUAAGUGAGGCCACUGCAGAAACCAGCAGGGAAUGUGAGCUGGGCACCCAGCUUAAUUACCUGGUAAUCCAGGCAGACUGAUGACGUCCCUCCAGUGCUUAAGGUAAAACUCCGGAUUGGCACUUGCGCUUUGUGAGAAAGAAAGGUAUUGUGAUAACG
rnacentral:lncRNA from 1 species